rnacentral:misc_RNA from 1 species
GAAAGAUUAAAUGUCAAGCUUGCAGAGUUGUUGUCAUUACUUACGUGUGAUACAAAAUCUGUCAACAAGAAAAGGAACAGACCCAAGAUCUCUGUUGAAUUGCGGGAAAUUUUGGCUCGGAUGGAUUCUAGAAUCAAUGACCUCUAUACCUCUUUGCCUACUAAUGCUAUGCUUAUCAUUUGCACUGGUCACGGUGACAUAGCACUUGUACAGAGAUUGAGAAAAAUGCUACAAGAGCAGAGUGAAACAAGCAUAUGCCGUGAUAAGAUUGUCAAGAUCUUGGAAGAG